GAUGAACGCUGGCGGCGUGCCUAAUACAUGCAAGUCGAACGCUGAAGGAGGAGCUUGCUCUUCUGGAUGAGUUGCGAACGGGUGAGUAACGCGUAGGUAACCUGCCUGGUAGCGGGGGAUAACUAUUGGAAACGAUAGCUAAUACCGCAUGACAACAGUUAUUGCAUGAUAACUGUUUAAAAGGGGCAACUGCUCCACUACCAGAUGGACCUGCGUUGUAUUAGCUAGUUGGUGAGGUAACGGCUCACCAAGGCGACGAUACAUAGCCGACCUGAGAGGGUGAUCGGCCACACUGGGACUGAGACACGGCCCAGACUCCUACGGGAGGCAGCAGUAGGGAAUCUUCGGCAAUGGACGGAAGUCUGACCGAGCAACGCCGCGUGAGUGAAGAAGGUUUUCGGAUCGUAAAGCUCUGUCGUAAGAGAAGAACGAGUGUGAGAGUGGAAAGUUCACACUGUGACGGUAUCUUACCAGAAAGGGACGGCUAACUACGUG
rnacentral:rRNA from 1 species